rnacentral:lncRNA from 1 species
GUUCUCCGCUCCACUGAGAGCUGCACUCAUCACGACAACUUGCAUGUGAGCGGAACCACCCACUACGGGUCUCCUCUCUGCUGAGGUGGACACUCAUUGGGACAACCCGCCUGCGGAAAGGAGCUGUCCACUUCCGGUCCUCUGCAGCCGUUCUGUCAAUGAAGCUCCUCUCUGCCUUGCUCACCCUCCACUUGUCCGUGUACCUCAUUCUUGUCGUGGAACAAGACCCUGGGACCCAGUGAAUGGUGGGACUGAAAGAGCGGUAACACAAACAGGGCUGAAACAUGCCCACCGCUCGCCACUUUGUGGGCGACGAGGAGAAACGAACUGCUGUGGCCCUUCAGGAAUCCCAGACCUAGAGACUCCUGAGCCAGGGCUGUGACACCCUCUUUGGGGCUCCGCAGUUUCUGGUGUCUCCAAGCUUCCGGGUGCCAUCGUAUUUCCCAGUGCCUGCAGUGGAAGCCAUUUGUGGUAACGCCUGGUCCAGCCAGUCUCACACGGAACCCACGCCUGUGCUGGCGCCUGGAGCUGCCUGCCCAGUGGCAGCAAGCACGCAUGGCUGUGUGCAGUGGCCAGACCCCAUGCUUAUUAACACACCCCUUGCUACUCCUCACCAGGCUCGCCCUUGGCAGGUGUGGGAUCCAGGUCAGUAUUAUGAGCCAAAUACAGCCUGCUGGGGCGAGUGAGCAGAAGAGGCCAGCGGGCCCGUGUAAAACUCAGGCAAAGGCACCACCAGCCGCAGAGGUUUCCAACUGAAAAAGUGACACGGUUUGAUCUUCGCAGUGGCCUGUGGCUAAGACUGAUAUUAAAGGAAGAAUUAAAAUCCUGAAUCAAUCAUGAACUUUAAAGUUAAGAUGAAUUCAAGGAUAUCAAACUUGACUGCAUAAGAGAGUAUCAUGUUUGGAGAGAAGAAAUAAUUUUAUUGCGAGACACAAAGUGGUGUCUGUCACUUAAAUCCUUCACCAAUCUACCUCCUGUACUCGUGGAAAAAAAGGAAUCAAUGACUUCCAGAUUGUGUCAAUCAAGACCUAGCCUCCGGACAACAUACCUACAUAUUUGCCUAACUCGCUGGGAGUACCUCUUGGAUGUCUGCAACACACCUCAAAUUCAGCUCUUUCAAGAUUAAAUUUGUCUUUUUCUCUUAUAUUAAUGAUUCUAACAAAGUAAUUUCUAAGCAAAUGUGUAGUUCAGCAUUAGUUCCAUGGAAAACUGAAAAAUAAUGGCUUAGAUAAGGCCAUCUGGAAAGAGCACAAGUAAAAAUUUUGACUUACAGAAAAUACCUUAGUUUGACAUCUCAUCUGGAGAAUUUUUAUGCCAAACUCGUUAAUGAGUGCAACACUGCCAAGGUGUUUUGGAGCUUUGGUAGUUUAACACUUCACAAAUUUCAGUCCAAUUUCUUUAUAUGAAUUUUUAAAAAAAUGGAUCAUUGAAAUAAAUAUACUUGACAAUGACUUACUUAUUAGAAUAUGUAACAGACCCAGCACUUCGGGGGCCGAGGUGGGCGGAUCACCUAAGGUCAGGAGUUUGAGACCAGCCUGGCCAACAUGGUGAAACCUCGUCUGAACUAAAAAUACAAAAAUCAGCCAGACAUGGUGGCGGGCACCUAUAGUCCAAGCUACUUGGGAGGCUGAGGCAGGAGAAUCACUGGAACCCGGGAGGUGGAGGUUGCAGUGAGUUGAGAUCUCACCAUUGCACUCCAGCCUGGGUGACAAGAGCGAAACUUCAUCUCAAAGACAGAAAAAAAAACGUUGCAGAGACAAUCAACAUUAAAAAUUGAAAAAAUACUCUUUGGUGUUAAUUAAUUACUAUAGAAAAAUAAAAAAAUAGGGUAUAACGAUUGACUACAACACAAGUAAUGAGCACACUAAGUCUGAAUUUCAUUCUUAGAUGCCAUUAAUCUGAUUUCAUUAAAGUCAGUUUUAAUCUAAGCCCUAUGCUUCUUAAAAGGAAUUUGGUUGAAACAUUGUUCUGAUGUUAAUAAAGGAAAAAUAUUUUUUCUAGUUAUAAAUUAUUUAACAUAUUACUAUAUAAUUAAAUGUUAAUACAUUGCAUUUUCUAUAAAUUACAAUAUUCAUUCUUACCAAAUAAAAAUAAUAUAAACUGAUAAUUGGCAUUAUUUUCAUACACUCUUGAGAAUAUGAGCUAAUAGGAAAGAUGUGCCAAUGCUGUGUCUAUAUGAUGGAACUAUUUAGAGCAGGAAAAAAAUAUGUGAUCAGUCAAUUUUAUUCUCUAAAGGUUGUCCUUACUACAGCUUUUAAUUGUAACACUAUGUCAAUUUUUGCUUCCAGACUGUAAGUAAGAUGGACCAGUUAGCAACUUUGUGAUCAUAAAUGUAUAGCUAAUUUAAAAACAAACGUGAAAUAUUGAAAAUUAAAGUUUAUUUUGAGUCU